AUUGAACGCUGGCGGCAGGCCUAACACAUGCAAGUCGAGCGGAUGAAGGGAGCUUGCUCCUGGAUUCAGCGGCGGACGGGUGAGUAAUGCCUAGGAAUCUGCCUGGUAGUGGGGGAUAACGUCCGGAAACGGGCGCUAAUACCGCAUACGUCCUGAGGGAGAAAGUGGGGGAUCUUCGGACCUCACACUAUCAGAUGAGCCUAGGUCGGAUUAGCUAGUUGGUGGGGUAAAGGCCUACCAAGGCGACGAUCCGUAACUGGUCUGAGAGGAUGAUCAGCCACACUGGAACUGAGACACGGUCCAGACUCCUACGGGAGGCAGCAGUGGGGAAUAUUGGACAAUGGGCGAAAGCCUGAUCCAGCCAUGCCGCGUGUGUGAAGAAGGUCUUCGGAUUGUAAAGCACUUUAAGUUGGGAGGAAGGGCAGUAAGUUAAUACCUUGCUGUUUUGACGUUACCAACAGAAUAAGCACCGGCUAACUUCGUG
rnacentral:rRNA from 1 species